rnacentral:rRNA from 1 species
CUUGUGGAAUGAGCGGCGGACGGGUGAGUAACACGUGGGCAACCUGCCUGUAAGACUGGGAUAACCCCGGGAAACCGGGGCUAAUACCGGAUAACACUUUUCGUUGCAUGACGAGAAGUUGAAAGGCGGCUUCGGCUGCCACUUACAGAUGGGCCCGCGGCGCAUUAGCUAGUUGGUAAGGUAACGGCUUACCAAGGCGACGAUGCGUAGCCGACCUGAGAGGGUGAUCGGCCACACUGGGACUGAGACACGGCCCAGACUCCUACGGGAGGCAGCAGUAGGGAAUCUUCCGCAAUGGACGAAAGUCUGACGGAGCAACGCCGCGUGAGUGAUGAAGGUCUUCGGAUCGUAAAACUCUGUUGUUAGGGAAGAACAAGUCGGGUAGUAACUGACCCGGCCUUGACGGUACCUAACCAGAAAGCCCCGGCUAACUACGUGCCAGCAGCCGCGGUAAUACGUAGGGGGCAAGCGUUGUCCGGAAUUAUUGGGCGUAAAGCGCUCGCAGGCGGUCCUUUAAGUCUGAUGUGAAAUCUCGCGGCUCAACCGCGAACGGUCAUUGGAAACUGGAGGACUUGAGUACAGAAGAGGAGAGUGGAAUUCCACGUGUAGCGGUGAAAUGCGUAGAGAUGUGGAGGAACACCAGUGGCGAAGGCGACUCUCUGGUCUGUAACUGACGCUGAGGAGCGAAAGCGUGGGGAGCGAACAGGAUUAGAUACCCUGGUAGUCCACGCCG